GACGAACGCUGGCGGCGUGCUUAACACAUGCAAGUCGAACGGAAAGGCCCUGCUUUUGUGGGGUGCUCGUGUGGCGAACGGGUGAGUAACACGUGAGUAACCUGCCCUUGACUUUGGGAUAACUUCAGGGAACUGGGGCUAAUACCGGAUAGGAGCUCCUGCUGCAUGGUGGGGGUUGGAAAGUUUCGGCGGGCGGGGAUGGACGCGCGGCUUAUCAGCUAGUUGGUGGGGUAGUGGCUUACCAAGGUUUUGACGGGUAGAUGGCCUGGGAGGGUGACCGGCCUCAUGGCGACUGAGGUAGGGCGCAGACUGGAACGGGAGGCAACGGUGGGAAAUAUUGCACAAUGGGCGGGAGCGUGAUGCAACGGCGCCGCGUGCGGGAUGACGGCUUUCGGGUUGUAAACAGCUUUCGACUGUGACGAAGCGUGAGUGACGGUAAUGGAUAAAGAAGCACCGGCUAACUACGUG
rnacentral:rRNA from 1 species